AGAGUUUGAUCCUGGCUCAGAUUGAACGCUGGCGGCAUGCUUUACACAUGCAGGUCGAACGGUAACAGGGAGCUUGCUCCGCUGACGAGUGGCGAACGGGUGAGUAAUGCAUCGGAACGUACCGUGUAAUGGGGGAUAACGUAGCGAAAGUUACGCUAAUACCGCAUACGCCCUGAGGGGGAAAGUGGGGGACCGCAAGGCCUCACGUUAUACGAGCGGCCGAUGUCGGAUUAGCUAGUUGGUGGGGUAAAGGCCUACCAAGGCGACGAUCCGUAGCGGGUCUGAGAGGAUGAUCCGCCACACUGGGACUGAGACACGGCCCAGACUCCUACGGGAGGCAGCAGUGGGGAAUUUUGGACAAUGGGCGCAAGCCUGAUCCAGCCAUGCCGCGUGAGUGAAGAAGGCCUUCGGGUUGUAAAGCUCUUUCGGCCGGGAAGAAAUCGCAUGGGUUAAUACCCUGUGUGGAUGACGGUACCGGAAUAAGAAGCACCGGCUAACUACGUG
rnacentral:rRNA from 1 species